rnacentral:rRNA from 1 species
ACGGAAGGCAGCAGUGGGGAAUAUUGGACAAUGGGGGAAACCCUGAUCCAGCGACGCCGCGUGAGUGAAGAAGUAUUUCGGUAUGUAAAGCUCUAUCAGCAAGGAAGAAAAUGACGGUACUUGACUAAGAAGCCCCGGCUAACUACGUGCCAGCAGCCGCGGUAAUACAUAGGGGGCAAGCGUUAUCCGGAUUUACUGGGUGUAAAGGGAGCGUAGACGGCAUAGCAAGUCUGAAGUGAAAUGCAUGGGCUCAACCCAUGAACUGCUUUGGAAACUGUUAAGCUAGAGUGCAGGAGAGGUAAGUGGAAUUCCUAGUGUAGCGGUGAAAUGCGUAGAUAUUAGGAGGAACACCAGUGGCGAAGGCGGCUUACUGGACUGUAACUGACGUUGAGGCUCGAAAGCGUGGGGAGCAAACAGGAUUAGAUACCCUGGUA